AGAAGAAUCCUAAUAAAAAUGAUGCAGGAAAACUGAGCAAUACAUUUCGUGUCUCGUUUGUCAGAAAAUAAGGAUUCAAAACAGUGAAAAUCUUGGAUAAAACGUCGGCGAAAACCUUUUCAUUUCUGCUUCGGAAAUUGCAAAGUCACUGAGGCAUUCAAUUCAAUAUGAAUACCAAGUUCUGGCUCUCAGUUGCGUUCCUGAUGUCCUGGAUUGGUGUAUUUCAAGCUGCUCUCCAAUGCCAAACAGCGGAAUACACAAUUGGAGGAAUGUUCCUCAAGGGCCAUACCUUUAAAACUAGCAAGGUUGGAUGGCCUGCAGGUUGUUAUUUCAUGUGCGAAGCAGAAGUUACAUGUCAAAGCUACAAUUUCGUCAUUGGUUAAAACCUCUGUGAAUUGAACAAUCGAACCAAGGAGGCGAGACCUGAAGAUUUCAAGCUAGAUCAGACAAGGUUCUACAUGAAAAGAGCAAAAAACAGAGUUCCUCUUGGCUCCAUUCAAGAGCUUCCUGCUGAAUCGUGCAGUGAGAUCAAGGCCAGUGAAGGAAAUGAGAUAGUUUAAGGGGAUUACUGGAUAUAUUCUGAUGGGAAUGCUCAGACAAUCCUGGCUCGCUGUGAAGGAAACUGGCAGAAAAUAAACAAAGAGUCCGUUUGCUUUGGGGCGCGAGAUAACCAGUUCGGCGCCUUUAACAUCACAAAGAGUGGACUUCUCAAGACAGUGAAGCUCGUCCACAAGUCGGGCUCGAUCAUAUGUAACCGAAAUUUCCCUCCAUCCUACUGGGGCUGCAGUACAAGCCCCUACUAUAGCAAAAACAGCUUAAUGACUAUCAUUACCAGUGCAAAGAAAGAAGCCAUCCUGCCACCAGCUGGAGACUUAAAAGCUGGCGUUGAAAACAAAAACCACUUUUACAGUCUUAAUGGAACUACCCACACAUCUCCAGAGCUGAUUUUCCGCGAUCUUCCCAUUCAGGUGUCUGUGUCACGCAAUCAGGAGCUGCAGAUAUGGUACGGACAGGAUUGGACCGAUUGGAGUGAAGA
rnacentral:lncRNA from 1 species